rnacentral:lncRNA from 1 species
AAAAACUCUUCUUCACUUCUAGUUGUCCUCUUCUCCAAAAUUCCCAAAUUCUCUCAAGAAAGCAAAAAUCAUGUCUAACCCACAAGACUAUCCUGGAACUCUUCCACCACCAUCUCCUUCAAAUUCAUCCUCAUCUACUUCUCCCAGUGUAUAUCCAAAACCUAGGCUAUGAAGGCAAAAAAUUCUUGCUCGAAAGACUGUAGAAUCUGGGGCUUUGAGGAGGGCUUUAAAUGAAAAAAUAUAAAGCAAGCCAAAUGAAAGAAAGCCAAGCCC